ACCUGGCUGGCUCAGUCGGUAGAGCAUAUGACCCUUGAUCUUAGGUUUGUGAGUUUGAGCCCCAUGUUGGGUU
rnacentral:tRNA from 1 species